rnacentral:rRNA from 1 species
GGCGGCGUGCUUAACACAUGCAAGUCGAACGGAAAGGCCCUGCUUUUGUGGGGUGCUCGAGUGGCGAACGGGUGAGUAACACGUGAGUAACCUGCCCUUGACUUUGGGAUAACUUCAGGAAACUGGGGCUAAUACCGGAUAGGAGCUCCUGCUGCAUGGUGGGGGUUGGAAAGUUUCGGCGGUUGGGGAUGGACUCGCGGCUUAUCAGCUUGUUGGUGGGGUAGUGGCUUACCAAGGCUUUGACGGGUAGCCGGCCUGAGAGGGUGACCGGCCACAUUGGGACUGAGAUACGGCCCAGACUCCAACGGGAGGCAGCAGUGGGGAAUAUUGCACAAUGGGCGGAAGCCUGAUGCAGCAACGCCGCGUGCGGGAUGACGGCCUUCGGGUUGUAAACCGCUUUCGCCUGUGACGAAGCGUGAGUGACGGUAAUGGGUAAAGAAGCACCGGCUAACUACGUGCCAGCAGCCGCGGUGAUACGUAGGGUGCGAGCGCUGUCCGGAUUUAUUGGGCGUAAAGGGCUCGUAGGUGGUUGAUCGCGUCGGAAGUGUAAUCUUGGGGCUUAACCCUGAGCGUGCUUUCGAUACGGGUUGACUUGAGGAAGGUAGGGGAGAAUGGAAUUCCUGGUGGAGCGGUGGAAUGCGCAGAUAUCAGGAGGAACACCAGUGGCGAAGGCGGUUCUCUGGGCCUUUCCUGACGCUGAGGAGCGAAAGCGUGGGGAGCGAACAGGCUUAGAUACCCUGGUAGUCCACGCUGUAAACGGUGGGUACUAGGUGUGGGGUCCAUUCCACGGGUUCCGUGCCGUAGCUAACGCUUUAAGUACCCCGCCUGGGGAGUACGGCCGCAAGGCUAAAACUCAAAGGAAUUGACGGGGCCCCGCACAAGCGGCGGAGCAUGCGGAUUAAUUCGAUGCAACGCGUAGAACCUUACCUGGGUUUGACAUGGAUCGGGAGUGCUCAGAGAUGGGUGUGCCUCUUUUGGGGUCGGUUCACAGGUGGUGCAUGGCUGUCGUCAGCUCGUGUCGUGAGAUGUUGGGUUAAGUCCCGCAACGAGCGCAACCCUUGUUCACUGUUGCCAGCACGUUAUGGUGGGGACUCAGUGGAGACCGCCGGGGUCAACUCGGAGGAAGGUGGGGAUGACGUCAAGUCAUCAUGCCCCUUAUGUCCAGGGCUUCACGCAUGCUACAAUGGCUGGUACAGAGAGUGGCGAGCCUGUGAGGGUGAGCGAAUCUCGGAAAGCCGGUCUCAGUUCGGAUUGGGGUCUGCAACUCGACCUCAUGAAGUCGGAGUCGCUAGUAAUCGCAGAUCAGCAACGCUGCGGUGAAUACGUUCCCGGGGCUUGUACACACCGCCCGUCAAGUCAUGAAAGUUGGUAACACCCGAAGCCGGUGGCCUAACCGUUGUGGGGGAGCCGUCGAAGGUGGGACUGGUGAUUAGG